UCCGGGCCCGUGACGUACGGUCCCUUUCCACGCCGUUGGAGAACAAGCCGGGCCUCGAGUCUGCAGCCUGCAUAUUCCUACUGCUUCUCUGAGCCCUCGGGCCAUGACAGAGGAGACAAACCAUGCAGGAAACAGCU
rnacentral:snoRNA from 1 species